rnacentral:tRNA from 1 species
GGGGCGGUGGCGCAGCUGGGAGCGCGUCAGACUGAAGCUCAACUUCAUCAUAAAUCUGAAGGUCAUCGGUUCAAGCCCGGUCCACCCCA